UACGAGUGCCUCAAGCGUUAUCCGGAAUCACUGGGCGUAAAGGGUGUGUAGGUGGUCUUAUUAGUCUUCUGUAAAAUUCUUCGGCUUAACCGGGGGCGCGCAGGGGAAACGGUAAGACUAGAGGGUGCGAGGGGUGUGUGGAACUCAUGGAGUAGGGGUGAAAUCCGUUGAUAUCAUGGGGAACACCAAAAGCGAAGGCAGCACACUGGCGCAUUCCUGACACUGAAACACGAAAGCGUGGGUAGCGAAUGGG
rnacentral:rRNA from 1 species